GACGAACGCUGGCGGCGUGCUUAACACAUGCAAGUCGAACGGAGUGGCGAACGGGUGAGUAACAAGUGGGUGACCUGCCCUGCACUUCGGGAUACGCCUGGGAAACUGGGUCUAAUACCGGAUAGUGUGGGAUGGGCCCGCGGCCUAUCAGCUUGUUGGUGGGGUAAGGGCCGACCAAGGAGGCGACGGGUAGCCGGCCUGAGAGGGUGGACGGCCACAUUGGGACUGAGCAACGGUCCAGACUCCUACGGGAGGCAGGAGUGGGGAAUAUGGCACAAUGGGCGGAAGCCUGAGGCAGGGACGCUGCGUGGGGGAUGACGGCUUUCGGGUUGUAAACUCCUUUCACCAUCGACGCGGUAGAUGGAGAAGAAGCACCGGCUAACUACGUGCCAGCAGCCGCGGUAAUAC
rnacentral:rRNA from 1 species